UCCUUUAAACAGUUCAGAUCCAGGUUACCACAACCUUCAAAGAGAUAGAGACAAUAAUCCUGUUUCACUCAAGUGUCUUCCUAAAUGUUAAUAUUCCAUUUUUGAUCUUUGGAUCAACGCUAUAGCGAUAGACAAGACCUGUUUGCUGCCAUCCCAAGACCUGAGCAAACACCUCCCCUUCUACCCCUAACAAUGCAGACUUGCAUUUCAAAGCUCUGUUCACUUACAUCUCUUCCGAACUGUCUUUAAAGUUCGGCCCUGGGUCAGGUGAGUCUGCGAGGUAAUUAACUCUUUCUGGCCCUGUCACUUUUCCGUGAGAUAUUAUAUUACACUCAUGUCACACCUGCUGCACUCCUUCCCUGGGCCGCGUGGGCCAGAGGGGGCAGCCAGCAGGAAAGGCUAACGCCAUUGCUGAGUGAUGCCUGGCUCCUGCGAGGGAAAUAUCCCAAGGAAGCACUUGGCCCCGUUCUAGCAGGACAGACACGGCUGCUCACAACUCCCAUCAAAGGGAACAGGAGACCUGUGGGUGAGAAGUCCAUGGACCGCCCUCCCUGCCACCCCAAGGAGGCAGCUGGCUCACCACUGCGAUUCAGGUGGGACAACAGGCUCCAUCUCCACCGAGGGUCCCGGGCAGCCAGCCAAGAUAAAGCUACAGAAUCUGUUGUAUAACUUAGCCUGUUUAUUCAUGUCUGAACCGGUGAUCGGCCUAGAAGUUAGCCAAGGCUGCUGCUCAUGGGACAGAGAGAACCUGUCACGAAAAGGCAGCGCCGAGCCUACGACCCAAAACUAGCCCAGCAUCUGUCAUCCAAUUACAUUGUGCCCACUGCUGUGAUCUUCCUGAGUAGCAGGGCUGGGUGGGGUUGCAGGACUUCUGGUCUACUCCAAACUGAUCUGGAAGCCCCAACUGAGAAGGGAACCUGUACCUAGCACCCCCAAGCUAGCACCAGGACUGGCUGGAGCCGGCUGGCUUGGAGCAGUGGAGGUCACAAUGCCUGGUGGUACAACGAUCUUGCUACAGUUCCAGUCACAUUUAAAAAAUUAUGCAAAGAGAACGGGGGAGGGCUGGAGCCUGAGCUGCUGUCCCAUCCAGGGAGCUGUUUACCGCAGCUGGGAGUCUGGCCUGGGAUUGUGGCUGCCCAAGUGAAGCGCAGAAGAACUCUUCCCCCGAAGGGAGAGGCUUGACCGUGCUAGGCAAGAUGCAGGAGCCGUGUCCCUGCCCCAGUGCAUGGCAGGCUGAACGCCAGCAGCCAGUGGGGAGGGGCAGGACAGAGAUGGCACGGGGCAGAGUGAUGAAAGGAAGGGAUUCUCCACUAUGACUGGGCAAUGCCCUGCAUGGCUCGGUUCAGCCCAGGGCAGGAUUUCUUACUGGCUUACAGCCGGGGGUCGAGGCUUGGGCACAGCUCACUUUCAUGGAGCUGGGUGCUGCCGGACACACCGCCCCGCCCCAGAGGGCCCCAGGCUGGAUAGACAAGAGAGGAGAACCAGCCCCUCCUUCACACUCGAGGCCCAGGGAGACGAAGGGACUCACCCAAGGCCAUGCAGGGAGUUGCGGGGGAGCUGGAUCCUGAACCCAGGUCUCUCACCUCCCAGUCCAAUGCUGGGGCAAAAGGGCCAGGACUGCACUCCCAGAGCUCCCCACGCCCCAAGCAGCUCUUCGCAUGUGGCGAGACUGGGGGAAGGGCCUGGGUCCUGAUGCGAAGAGGCAGGACACCUGGGUUCCAUUCCUGGCAGUCAGGAGUUACCUCCCGAGUGCAAUAGGGCUGGGACUGAGACACCUGCGAGGACCUUCCUGCGCCUCAGCACCCUGCCCUUCCCCUCUGUGCAUGGAGCACAGCAGCACCUUGGGGUUAGGGGGCAGCACAGAGCAUUGGGGUUAGGGGGGGUAGCGCAGAAUGCCAGGGCAGCACAGAGCAUUGGGGUUAGGGGUAGCGAAGAGUGCUGGGGUUGGGGUAGCGCAGAGUGCUGGGGCAGCACAGAGCACUGGGGUUAGGGGGUAGUGCAGAAUGCUGGGGUUGGGGUAGCGCAGAGUGCCGGAGCAGCACAGAGCACUGGGGUUAGGGGGUAGUGCAGAAUGCUGGGGUUGGGGUAGCGCAGAGUGCCGGAGCAGCACAGAGCAUUGGGGUUAGGGGGUAGCGCAGAGUGCCGGGGCAGCACAGAGCAUUGGGGUUAGGGGGUAGCGCAGAGUGCCGGGGCAGCACAGAGCAUUGGGGUUAGGGGGUAGCGCAGAGUGCCGGGGCAGCACAGAGCAUUGGGGUUAGGGGGUAGCGCAGAGUGCCGGGGCAGCACAGAGCAUUGGGGUUAGGGGGUAGCGCAGAGUGCCGGGGCAGCACAGAGCAUUGGGGUUAGGGGGUAGCGCAGAGUGCCGGGGCAGCACAGAGCAUUGGGGUUAGGGGGUAGCGCAGAGUGCCGGGGCAGCACAGAGCAUUGGGGUUAGGGGGUAGCGCAGAGUGCCGGGGCAGCACAGAGCAUUGGGGUUAGGGGGUAGUGCAGAGUGCCGGGGCAGCACAGAGCAUUGGGGUUAGGGGGUAGUGCAGAGUGCCGGGGCAGCACGGAGCAUUGGGGUUAGGGGGUAGCGCAGAGUGCUGGGGUUGGGGCAGCGCAGAGUGCCGGGGCAGCAGAGUGCUGUGUUGGGGGUAGCACAGAGCACUGGGCCUAGGGGGGAGAGCAGAGCACCGGA